ensembl:lncRNA
GUUCCCUUUAUUUUUUUGAGCAGCGUAUAUUGUCGGACGUUAAGUGCGUUUCUUGGAGGAAGACAAUUGUAGAUUUUAAUCUUUGCUUUAGCCUGCUCAUAACUUGUUUCAGUUUAACAAGGUUGUUUAAACCUCUUACAUUCCAUGAAGUGAACUGAAUCUCAGCUUGUGAAGCCAUUGUGCUGGACUGUAAUUGACUGGUAUUUUGAAUACUCAUUCUGACUGCUGUAAAUUGAAUUAAUCGUACACUCAAAAACAAACAUGUUGUUAACACAAACAAAAACACUUCUGUAACCAAAUAUUCCUACUCUUUCCAUAACCAAGUAGGUUUCCCAUCCCUUGCAUUUCGACCUGGCUAUGGGGCAAAGCCGAUCCACACGCUGAACUUUCGUGGGGAGCAACAUAGUGCAUGCAACAGACCUAACCUAUCCCCCGUCGCCCACAUAGAGUUGUGUAAACACCAUUUGAAAGAAGUUGAAACUGUAAAGCAUUAAGCAGAUUUCUUCUUUUUAAUCUAAAGAGGUAAAAGAGUAUUCUGAACAUCUUACUAAGCCAGUGUUCGUUUCUUGAGUCACCACAGAACAACUGUGAAGCAGACCACAACUUGCUCCUCAUGCAGACUACUGCUAACCCUGUUAACCUAUACCUCACGUAGACUACAAGAGUUUGACUACCAGCUGGUAGGUCAAAUGAUCAUUGCCUGCUUAUCAAUCAACAUUAGCCUCAUCACAGGAGUGUCCAGUCCCGCGUUGUUCCUGGCUCCUUCCCAGACCCUGAACAAAUUUCCUCGCUUCCACUUGGCAGGCAUUCUUGGAGUGGUACCUGACCCCUGGCCUGACCAUGCAGUACCAAAGGAGGGAUGACAGGGGUCGCCAGUGGUCCCUGGUGAGCGAGGAGCCCGUAAGCACUACAUCAGGGUCUUGUAUUCUCACUUCACCAGCUUGAUUUCGCUCUAGUCGUUACAGUUACAGCCCUGCCCUUCCUUAACCUGGGCGAGGAGUUCAUUGACCCCAAGAGCCACUAAUUCAUCAUGAGGCUGCAGCCUGAAAUGUCCGUGAAGGAAGGAGAAUAGGAGGAGAAUGGGAGAAAGAGGGGUUGUUGGUGUAGAGCUGGAGAGAGGGAGAGAACCACUUCUUUUUUUAUUCUAUUUUUUAUCAUUGAGGCUUUCCAUUGGCCUGUUUUUAUACUAAGUGAAUUCCCAAGCCUCAGAGACUGUUUUGAACUGAAUGGUUCUUUAUACAUUUCUGACUGAAAAGACUGUUGGCAUUCCCACCCCUACAUAAUUCCGACAGCUGCAGCCAGGCAUUGCUACACUGUGUCUGCAGUUUGUACCAGUGCUUUCUAGCUCCAGUCUUGGGGGCCACAUCCAAUAACAGUGUUAAACGUUCAGUAAAAGGAAGUGAAACUGCAUUCGCAGAGCUGAAGCACUUUAAGACAACAUUGCGGAAGUGACGAUUUACGUAAUUCAUCAGAAUAGUCCUCACCCAUGACAAGGAGUCAUAUCUGUUCUGUAGAAGUUGACUGUGAGAUUUCAUGGAAAACUGAAUUUAGUUUUUUUGGGGAGGUAGUUCCUCUUUCAAAAUAUAUGUGACCACUAUCAAGUGCUGUAACUGUGCUAUAAGUGUGACUACUGGCUUGACAUGGAG